rnacentral:rRNA from 1 species
AUUGAACGCUGGCGGCAGGCCUAACACAUGCAAGUCGAACGGUAACAGGAAGCAGCUUGCUGCUUCGCUGACGAGUGGCGGACGGGUGAGUAAUGUCUGGGAAACUGCCUGAUGGAGGGGGAUAACUACUGGAAACGGUAGCUAAUACCGCAUAACGUCGCAAGACCAAAGAGGGGGACCUUAGGGCCUCUUGCCAUCGGAUGUGCCCAGAUGGGAUUAGCUAGUAGGUGGGGUAACGGCUCACCUAGGCGACGAUCCCUAGCUGGUCUGAGAGGAUGACCAGCCACCCUGGAACUGAGACACGGUCCAGACUCCUACGGGAGGCAGCAGUGGGGAAUAUUGCACAAUGGGCGCAAGCCUGAUGCAGCCAUGCCGCGUGUAUGAAGAAGGCCUUCGGGUUGUAAAGUACUUUCAGCGGGGAGGAAGGGAGUAAAGUUAAUACCUUUGCUCAUUGACGUUACCCGCAGAAGAAGCACCGGCUAACUCCGUG